UUCCUAGAGCAACUCAAUCUGGAAGAUGCAGACUUUGAUGAUCUGCUAAUUGAUGAGGAUGAUCCUGUGAUCAACGAGAGCGUGAGAUGGCUGGCCCUAGCUAGGGUUCACACGGAGAAAAGUUUCAGCCAAGCAACCUUCUACAAGGAUAUGCGAGCGACAUGGAAUACUGCGCAACAAGUAAGGUUUAGGCCGGUUGGACCUAAUUUGUUUGUCGUGCAGGCAUCAUGCCCAGGAGAUUGGGAGCGCAUACUCGAGCAAGGUCCAUGGUUGUUCAGGAACUGGAUUGUGCUGACGUGUCCAUACGAUGGAUUCACAAAGGCAGAGGAAGUGUCGAUGGUGUUUAUGCCAAUUUGGCUACAGAUCCACAAACUUCCGGACGACUUUUGCAAGAGGAGUAUAGUAGAAUCGUUACUCAAGAACACUGGGGAAAUCAUGGAGAUGAGGUUAAACGGGAAUACCCGUGGAGACUACGUCAGAAUUAGGGUUCGCCAUGACAUUCGCGAACCCCUCACAAAGUAUGUCAGUAUUGUCAGGGGACAAAAGCGACAGGUGUUCUUAGUUCGCCAUGAGAAAUUGGCUCGAUUCUGCAGUGUUUGUGGAAUAAUUGGACAUGACUUCAAGGAAUGCGGUACUGGUGUUCAUGAGGAGAAAGAAAAGAAAUUUGGAGCUUGGCUCUAUGCAGAUGGCAUGAACAAGACACAUAUGGAUGAAGUGUUUGGUCGAGGCGGUGAGCAUAAGCAUACUGAAAAUUCCCAGCAAAAGCAUAGGACCGGGAAGUUCAUGUGUUGA
rnacentral:rRNA from 1 species